AUACGGAGGGGGCUAGCGUUGUUCGGAAUUACUGGGCGUAAAGCGCGUGUAGGCGGAUCGUUAAGUCAGGGGUGAAAGCCCGGAGCUCAACUCCGGAAUUGCCCUUGAUACUGGCGGUCUAGAGGCCGGGAGAGGUGAGCGGAAUUCCCAGUGUAGAGGUGAAAUUCGUAGAUAUUGGGAGGAACACCAGUGGCGAAGGCGGCUCACUGGCCCGGUUCUGACGCUGAGACGCGAAAGCGUGGGGAGCAAACAGGAUUAGAAACCCCAGUAGUCC
rnacentral:rRNA from 1 species